GACAAUAGACCGAGGAUGUCACAGGCACAGGGCCUCCCUGUGGGGAUCCAGCCGAUGGAGGAAUCAGGGACGAGACACACAAACAUCAUCCGUGCAAACAAGGGCACACGGGAAACGGCGGUGGGGAUAAUGGGAGCAGCAAAGGGAAAUCGUCUGUACGGGGAGCUGCAGGAGGGUCACCAAGGCAACGCUGCGGCUGGUUUCCAGAGCAAGAUGGAUUGUCUCCAGCUUUAAGAGACUCUCCGAUGCCCAUUCUCCUCUCCUGCAAACUGGUGCAACACCAGCCACUGCUCCGCGGGAGUUCCCCUUGAUUCACACGAUGGAAGCGGGAUCUGAAUGCGGCUUCUUGUGCCCCAAGAAGAUUGCUGGUUCCUCGUG